UUCCAGACUCCUACGGGAGGCAGCAGUGGGGAAUAUUGGGCAAUGGGGGCAAGCCUGACCCAGCAACGCCGCGUGAAGGAAGAAGGCUUUCGGGUUGUAAACUUCUUUUAAGAGGGAAGAGAAGAAGACGGUACCUCUUGAAUAAGCCACGGCUAACUACGUGCCAGCAGCCGCGGUAAUACGUAGGUGGCACGCGUUGUCCGGAUUUACUGGGUGUAAAGGGCGUGCAGCCCGGCUGACAAGUCAGAUGUGGAAACCCGCGGCUCAACCGCGGAACUGCAUUUGAAACUGACAGUCUUGAGUACCGGAGAGGUAAUCGGAAUUCCUUGGGUAGCGGUGAAAUGCGUAGAUAUAAGGAAGAACACCAGUGGGGAAGGCGGAUUACUGGACGGUAACUGACGGUGAGGGGCGAAA
rnacentral:rRNA from 1 species